GACGAACGCUGGCGGCGUGCUUAACACAUGCAAGUCGAGCGGAAAGGCGCUGCGUUUGUGGGUUGCUCGAGUGGCGAACGGGUGAGUAACACGUGAGUAACCUGCCCUUGACUUUGUGAUAACUUCAGGAGACUGGGGCUAAUACCGGAUAGGAGCUCCUGCUGCAUGUGGGGGGUUGGAAAGUUUCGGCGGUGGGGGCUGGACUCGCGGCUUAUCAGCUUGUUGGUGGGGUAGUGGCUUACCAAGGGUUUGACGGGUAGCCGGCUUGAGAGGGUGAACGGCCACAUUGGGACUGAGAUACGGCCCAGACUCGUACGGGCGGCAGUAGUGGGGAACAUUGCACAAUGGGCGGACGCCUGAUGCAGAAACGCCGCGUGCGGGAUGACGGCCUUCGGGUUGUAAACCGCUUUCGCCUGUGACGAAGCGUGAGUGACGGUAAUGGGUAAAGAAGCACCGGCUAACUACGUG
rnacentral:rRNA from 1 species